AUGAUUUAGUGACACAAUCAAGUAGUCAAAGGCUUCUGUGGGAACUGAGGAAAUAUAAGCAUAGUUUUGUUCUUAUUCUUGUUAUGGGAGGAUCAGACACAGGGGAAAAAGAGGCCAUCAAUGUGGACUCCGACUUUUAGGGGAUGGAAGAGGGAAUGUUUUUUGACUAAAAUAACAAGGGUUGUUGUCCCGAAUGAAAGAAUGAAUGGAGAGAAUGUGGCAAUUCUCUGAACAUUGAAAUUUUCUGAGUUGGGCUCUAUUUUUUCAUAUCUUUAGAUUCCUUGCUAGCUUGGAUUUUAAAAACCUUAAUCAUUUUUAUUUCUCUGGAUUCAGAUUUCUCUAUCAUCCCCACUGGACUCCAAAUUAUAUUGCCUCCUUCUUUCACUCUCCAAGUUUAUGCACUGCUUUGUCUUCCCAAAUGCUGUUUUCCAAGUUCCAAUUAGAUUAAGGGCUUGUCUGCACAGGAAAGUUACACUACUAUUAAUUUGCAGUUUGCUUUAAAGAAAUUAUGUUAAACCUGGGCAGAAGGCCAUGUGGACUCCCUGGUAUUCCUCUGCUGGAAUACAAAUGGCUUAUUUCAGGUUAGAGCAGGUCAAUUAGGAACAGGAAGAACUUGCAAAGCAGUGCGUUUUCCUACAUCAGAACAAGGAGUCCAGCAGCUCCUUCUGCAGAUUGUAACCUCCAAAUGGGAAGAAAGGCUGGGGGCAUGGUCUUGACCUGUGCAGGAGCGACAAUCUGCUGGACAGAGGUAGCACAACACCAGGUGACUGCUGCUGUCACUGCCCUGGCUCGGGCUGUGGAGCAGCUCUUGCCCACUGCAGCCUUUUUCUACCAGGACAGACCAACCCACAGCACUCACAGGACAGAAGCAGGGACUGCUGCCUCUGUGCAAGGCAAGCCCAAAGAAGAGAAGAUGAAGACAAAAGAAGAGAGACAUUGCAGCAAGAAGAAAGGAAAGAGGCACGUCAGUAAAUCUUGGAUUCACAUUCUCAUUGUGAACUGGUUUGAACUAGUAAGCUUGUAAUUGCCUAAAUCAAAAUAGGCACCUAGUCAAGAUGGCUCCUGCAUUAAUCAGCAUCAGUUAUACUUUGAAGGAGGCACUAAUGUUUCUCAUUUUGAUUUCUGUAAGGCUGUUCUAACUACCAUUUCUAAAUACGAAGAGUAACUUUUAUGUUAUGUAACAUAAAUGUAACAUUAGAGUCUUCUUUGGAAGCCCUUCAGAGUGUCACUGAUCAAAUACCACUUGCCAGCGCUGUCCCCUCUGGUGUGCAGGGGUUUGACUUCAGCUGCCAGCUGUGAGCACCUGGCAAGGCCUGAACUUUGCAGAUAAUGGUUGUGCAAUGUGGUGGAGCUGCCAGGAGUGCUUGGAUUAAGAGAGUGGCCUCAGCCACCUGAGGAAUGCCCCUUAUUAAGUGAGAGGGUGACUCUGACAGCUCAGAAAUGCCUGUGGGGUUGUCAGGGUCCUGAGGACACCCCCAGCUUCCCACAGCCCUGCCAGGAACUGAAAGGACAAAUCAUGAAGCCCAUGAAGCAAACCCAACUCUGGUCUUUGGAAGAAAGUCCCUCUUCCUAUUUUCCUCGCCGUUGCUGCAGUGUUGGUUCUGUCACUUGGCAGGGGAAGGUUCAGCAGCAGGGGAAUGGGAGUGGUUUAGGGAUGUGUAAUACAAAGGUUGGUGGCCUGAGUUAAUGUCACCAGGUUAGCAGGUCAUCAAGACCACAGGGCAUCGACCCCUGUCUCUCAGGGCAUUCAGAUCUGGAAGAAACGUGAUUAGUCCUGAUGACUGCCAGAGCUGAGACAGGUGGAGAUACUGACAGUUCCAAAGAGCUACGAAAAGAUAUCCAAACCCUGAACAUAGUCACCAAUCCAAGAAUAAGCCAACCCAGGUCUUCAGAGCUGGUGUCCCUUGUGUUCUCUAUCACACCACACAGAUCCUGGACCCAUUAGCUAGGCACAAACUUCAUGUUGCCUGGAUUUUUGGUUAAAUGGUUUAAACAUGCUGGCCUGAUGCCAAUGGCUGCUCUUGUGAGUGUGAGAAUAUGAAUGUGGCUGAGCAAAACCUGUUCUGUUUCUGUUUUUAUUUUAAUUAAAUCAAAUCACUUUCUUCCCCUUCUCCCCUCACCCUCAUCUCUCCUAAUGUUUUCUACCUUGUUUAUGCCAUGCUGGAGCAGUAUUUCCUAUAGAGGAACAAGGAGUAGUAAAGAGGACCCAGAAGCAUAAUCUUUCCGAUGGCAGGAGAGAAAGAACCUGCCAUCUGAAAGGCAGGUUUUAUUUAAAAAUCUACUGUCAGGAGAAAAGUCUCUCUUUUUCUAGAUGGAUCUUCAAAGGCCAUCCUAUCCUUCUUGCUGAUUUUGGUCACCAGUGCAGGUCACACAGCUGGAGCUCUGGCCCACUCCUUUGUAAGAGGCUUAGCUCAGGCUUCAGUGUACUUAUUGCAACCUUUCCACUUAAAUAAUUAAAGAUAAAGGGUUUUGGAGACAUCUAGUCCAUGCCUUAAGACUAAAUAUAUCCAUCCACUCUGUUGGAUGCUCAUCAGACUGGAUCUCCAGAAUACCAACUGCAUCCCCAAACUGGGGGAGGGCUCCCAACCCUGACUGGCUUCUCCUAAGGGGCAGGGCCCCAGGAUGCUGUCACAUCACCAGAGCUACUGCUCCUCAGCUGUGAGGAAGGAACUCCUGCUUCAUGCUGAGACUGAAAAGCUGCUUAGUGAGCGAAGGGUUCCCGGCUCCUUUCAGACACCCACGGACAUGGUGGAGCUGUAACCCUCCCACCCUUUUCCGAGGCAGGCAGCUCAGUGCCUGCAGUGAGGUAGGAGCUGCUGCUGCCUCUCUGUGAGACAGCAGCUGAUGGUGGCUUCCCCAUUGUAUAAAAGACAGAAAAAUGCUGCUGUUCAGCUGUGAGAAGUGGCUGUGCAGCUUGUUGUAUGUCACCUCACUGUGGAGUAACUUCAGUCUUCAUAGUAGACAGGAAGAAUAGUUUAUUUCCUUCCUCUUUACAGAGGAUGCAUGCAUUUUAUGUAUUUGUGUGCUACUAUUUUGCCCCUCUUCAGACUUUGCUUCUUGAGACUGAAUUGUUUUUCAUUGUGCCUUACAGUUUAUGUCUUCUGAACUUCUUGUAGGGCAGCAGUUUAGCAUUUAAAUGAAUGUAGUGUUUAUGAAAUGAGCUGGACUGACAGGCAUGGAAAUGGAGACUUAUGUCUUCACAGAUUAGAUGCCACAGUGGUAGGAGGAGUGAGAACUCCAUGCCUGCCUUGUGAUCUGGAACAUCUCUAGAGGCAAGAAAAGGAUGUAAUGAUGAAAUCCAUCAAAGUGGUUCAGGUUUCCUCUUUAAUCAGUAGCCUCUAGGCUGUUUCAGCCUGCUAGCAUUCAUUUGUGCCAGAGGUGGUGGUGGCUUUGUGAUACGGACAAAGCAUUGCAAUAGCAAGGAGCUGUGUUAACCAGCUCAUUUCACAUAACCUACCGGCCUUGUGGGGGCAGAGCAUCCAUGCAGGGUUCAUCUCUGGCCACAUGGAAGGCUCUCCAGCCACACCAGUCACCUUAGGCCCCUGAUAUAGCCGUAGCAAGAAAAAGACACUGAGGUUAUUAAUCAUCUCAUCCUAAGGUAGAUAUUUAAAAUAGAUCAGAUAAGACAUAUCUUUGAAUUGCCUACAGGGCAACAGGCUCAGAUGUAUUGAUAGACACUGCAGACAUCUAAAAUUAGGUGAGCUGAAUCUCUCUCACCUGUGGAGUCAAACCAGUGACACACAGGUCAAAAGCCCCACUUCCCAUGGUGAAACUUCAGAGCACAUCUUCUGCCUUUCUGAAUUUACAGCAACCUGCAAACAACCACCUGAGAGAAUAAUGAGGGUCUUCCACCAAGUGGCUGAAUAUUUUCACUGAUUUUCAGAAAUAAAAUUUAUUAUAUUUUUCUUUUUUAGUUUAGUGUCCAAAUAGUCUAGAACAGGAAUCAUUGCUUUUUGACUUCACUCAUGAAAAGCAAAUGUUUGGAUUAGGAAGCACAGAUAUUCAUCAUGGCUGUAAUAAUGAUAUUCUGCAGAGGGGAAUUUUUAUGUUGAUUCAUCUGAUACAGUUGAACUGUAAAGAUUUAUCUUACAGAUUCUUUGGCAAAUAAGAACUUCAGAACAAUGUUUAUUUUUACUCCCACGGCAUUUUUUGCCCCUUCUCUCAUUUUUGUUCCUUAGCUAAUAGCUCAUUAAUAAGGAAAAAGGUUCUUUUGAUACCGUAGCACAUCUGCUGACCCAUUUCAGUGCGAGUGCAUAUAUAACCACUUGUUUGUUUGCACUUCUACAGGUGUUACUGCUGUGCAGAUAUGGGCUGUGGUUAAAUUUCAUAAUGGAAAAUCUGACAGGCAGUUAACUAAUCCAUGAGUCAUAUUUCGUAAUAGCCUAAAGGUCUCUGAUGUUCGACCUUCAUUUGAUACCCUUGCCAUCAGGCAGUUUAUACAUAACCCAUCUGAAGAACAUUCUUUAUAUAGAUGACUGCAUGCUGCCCUUUUAUACCUGCAAGAAUGGGCACUGCACUCACUGAGCCAGGGGAAUCUGCUGGCUCUCUGUGAGCGGGACUGGAGAGCUGCACUGUGCCAGACUCACCUGGGGAAUAGGGACAGUGGGAAUCUCUCUGCUUAGCUUAAGCCUUCUGCAGGGCCUUGUUGAAAGGUGGGGAGAGGGGUGGGGAGCUGCUUUUGGACUCCACUCACCCUAACUGGACUUCUGGUUGGAACAACUCCAGUAAUGAAAGUAGCAGUGGAACUUCCAGCACUAACAACUCUGCUGAUUUCACCUGUGCGUGGCUCACUUCUGCCAGAGGCAGGAGAGACAGGGAAUGAGACAUCCUUUUGUCAGACCAUCCCAAAUGGGGAUCCCUCCAUUGCAGAGUCCAGCCAGCAUUAUCAAUGCCAGGGUGCUAAAAGGAGCACCUAAAGUGGAGAAGACCCACCUGGACAAUCAUCCCCUUUAUUUUCUAGCCAAAGGGUGAAAAAGCAGCACAGUGCUUACAAGGGGACCAUAACAUUAUUGGCUUUCAGAACUUCUCAAGUCUCAAAGGCAGCAAAGGAUGUUGGCUUUGCUGCUGUUUUCAAAGCUAAAAUAAGGCAGACACAUGACUUCAGUAACUGCAUGUGAAGUUUACAUACUGUGACUCAUCGUAAUAAAGAAACCUAAACAAAACCCCAGUGUGUCAUUGAAGCUGGAAUAUGUUUUCCAUACUAAAUUCUUUUAGGCUUGCUUUGGCUUCUAUUUUACAGAUGUAGAACAGUAGAAUAUCUCAGGGAUAUUAACUCUUUGCUGUUGCAGGACAGAAAGUUCAGGUCUUUAUGAAUGGACCUAUAUAAAACACAGGAGAAGGUUAUCUUAUUUUUUUUAAUCCUUUGGCACAACAACUUUUACAGCAGUGCCAAAUGCUGGACAAGAGCAGCUGAGAAGACAAAUGGAAAGAAGAAAGCAAAGGAAAAAGAAGGGUUGUAUCCCAAGAUUUAGCAGGCUGUCUCUUUAAGAAGCUCUGCCAUUUCCAAGUGACUAUUUUGUAAUUGUCUGUAGGAUAGCAGCAGGCACCAGGAGUGAUGUAUAUGUAGCAUGUGAGUUGCCUGCUGUAUAUGGAAAACUGCCUAGGGAGGGAUUGGCACAGUGGGAGGGGGAGCAUGACCAGGCUGGCUGCAGGCACCCGUGAGGAGGUUUGUCAUCCUGCUGAGUCAACGGGAGACACAGCACCUCCAACGGGGCUUUUGCCUGCUGGGUGUUCAAUGCUAGGCAGCUGAAGUUACGUGGUAGGAGCCUAUAAUGACAGGCUCAUAUGCAUGGAAUUCAUUUUGCAUGGAUGAUCUGGAUUACCAGCUCCAGACCUCUUCAUCUGGAGUAAAGCUGGCACUGGACUGGGCAAGGCUCACUGUGGCUGUUUCUCAGGGCUCUCCUUGCAGCCCUUCUCAAACCAAUGCAGAAGAUCUGGAUCCUGCUCAGCAACCUCAUUCGGGUGAAACUGGAUAUUGCGACAAUGUUAUUCCAGCUCCUUUAAUGUAUGGCAACUGUACAGACAAAGCACUGCCUAAUGAAGAACUCAGAGUCCCCCAUCUAAAUGCUUUUUAGAAAAGCCAAAAUCCAUGGAAUCUUCACGAAAAAUAUCCAGCAAGAUUCUUAAUUUUGAUACAAAUACACAAUUUAUGGAGAAAAAGCAAGAAGUGAUUAUCCAAACCGACAAUUGCAGCAUACAAGAACCAUUAGGUUCCAAAUUCACUGCUCCAUCCCAGAAUUCCAGACAUGCACUGAAAAUGCCAGGGCUGGGAAGUUACUCUGGCUGCUACAGAGCGGGUGCCCAAGCAUAUGAGAAUCAACAUAGAAUUAGAAACGUGAAGAAAACCCUCACUAUUUAACUGCUUUAAGGCACUGAGCAGAGAAAAAUUGGGAAGACCAGAGUCACUGCAUUCUAUGAUCCUGGCCUUCCAGACCACACAGGUGCAGAGGAUGUGUGCUGCAGAGAGGAGAUGUGAGUUUCCUUCAGAACAGCCUGGAAGCUGCUCAGGAAUCCCAGCUCUUGGGACGUGUCUCAGAGAAGUCGUUCUGCGGUCGACUGUGCCUUGCUCUUCGUGUGUUUUUAAUAGAAGCAUUUAAAAUAAUUCCAAGAUUGAGGCGUAUACAAGUUAAACUUUGAGUAGAAGAUGAAGAACAAAUAGAGCCAUGCUAAAUUGGUUUCUGGUACAGCCUGACAGUAUAUUCAAGAUGCUACCUAAUCCCAACUGAUCCCAUAAAAAGUAAUCUCCUACCACCAAGUCAGUCUUAAAUUUGUAAGUGAGGUUACUACAGUCUCAGAUUAAUUGAAUCUCUUUUCUAUCAGGAAUUGGCAAAGCCAAGAAAUUAUUUAUGGCUAAAUUAAUCAUAUUUUAUGUGUGCUAUUUGUAAUUCUCUAUUCUGUUUACAAAAUAUAAGUAAAUAUAAUCCCUAUAAAUGUGUAACCAUGUAA